UGGGGAAUUUUGGACAAUGGGGGAAACCCUGAUCCAGCCAUCCCGCGUGUGCGGUGAAGGCCUUCGGGUUGUAAAGCACUUUUGGCAGGAAAGAAACGUCAUGGGUUAAUACCCCGUGAAACUGACGGUACCUGCAGAAUAAGCACCGGCUAACUACGUGCCAGCAGCCGCGGUAAUACGUAGGGUGCAAGCGUUAAUCGGAAUUACUGGGCGUAAAGCGUGCGCAGGCGGUUCGGAAAGAAAGAUGUGAAAUCCCAGAGCUCAACUUUGGAACUGCAUUUUUAACUACCGGGCUAGAGUGUGUCAGAGGGAGGUGGAAUUCCGCGUGUAGCAGUGAAAUGCGUAGAUAUGCGGAGGAACACCGAUGGCGAAGGCAGCCUCCUGGGAUAACACUGACGCUCAUGCACGAAAGCGUGGGGAGCAAACAGG
rnacentral:rRNA from 1 species